GGAGAGUUGAGCAUUUGGCGGAGUCGCGAAGGGAUUGGCUUGAUUUCCAUCGGUUUACCUCCAUCAAUCAUACCAUACGAUAUCGUCGUCUGUGCAGUGACUGAGAGCCGCAACUAAUCCGUUGUCGUAGUGGAGAAAGUGGCACUCGUCACCUCGAGGAUGUUCCUCCACAAAUUCUUUGUCCUGCUCUCCGUUGCUCCUCACCACCGUCUUCAUGUUAGGCGCCAUGAGAAAGUUAUUCGGACGCACUUUGAGGUUGUAGUUCCUAUCAAAUGAAUCGACUGAAAACUCGUUCAACAUUAAAUUGUUAUUAACUAAUUGUUUCAUACUUUCCGUUGGCAGCGAACGAAUAAUGGGCGUGAUUUUCACGAGGGCCACUCCGCUUUGUUUUGGGACUGGCGUUUCGUUGAAGAGGAUCUUCGGGCACGAAACUUCGAUGGCGGCGGAUGUAGACGACCUCGUACUCGUCGACUUGCGACGAAUUGUCCACGCCAAAUGUCCGUCCCAACUCGUCGACAUUCAUCAACGUGUGCAAAGUGCGCAACAACUAAUACAGAAAAAGCUUGCAGCGGAGGUCCUCAUUAUAUCUAACUGUACUUUGUUACCUUCCGGACGAAAGAGGACCCUUCAAGAUUUGACACAACGCCCAAGA